GACGAACGCUGGCGGCGUGCUUAACACAUGCAAGUCGAACGGAAAGGCCCUGCUUGCGGGGUACUCGAGUGGCGAACGGGUGAGUAACACGUGGGUGAUCUGCCCUGCACUUCGGGAUAAGCUGGGGAAACUGGGUCUAAUACCGGAUAGGAGCCAUCUUUAGUGUGGUGGUUGGAAAGUUUUUUCGGUGUAGGAUGAGCUCGCGGCCUAUCAGCUUGUUGGUGGGGUAAUGGCCUACCAAGGCGGCGACGGGUAGCCGGCCUGAGAGGGUGUACGGCCACAUUGGGACUGAGAUGCGGCCCAGACGCCUACGGGAGGCAGCAGUGGGGAAUAUUGCACAAUGGGCGCAAGCCUGAUGCAGCGACGCCGCGUGGGGGAUGAAGGCCUUCGGGUUGUAAACUCCUUUCGCUAGGGACGAAGCUUUUUGUGACGGUACCUAGAUAAGAAGCACCGGCUAACUACGUG
rnacentral:rRNA from 1 species